rnacentral:rRNA from 1 species
CCUACGGGAGACAGCAGUGAGGAAUAUUGGUCAAUGGACGAGAGUCUGAACCAGCCAAGUAGCGUGAAGGAUGACUGCCCUAUGGGUUGUAAACUUCUUUUAUAUGGGAAUAAAAUGUUCCACGUGUGGGAUUUUGUAUGUACCAUAUGAAUAAGGAUCGGCUAACUCCGUGCCAGCAGCCGCGGUAAUACGGAGGAUCCGAGCGUUAUCCGGAUUUAUUGGGUUUAAAGGGAGCGUAGGUGGAUUGUUAAGUCAGUUGUGAAAGUUUGCGGCUCAACCGUAAAAUUGCAGUUGAAACUGGCAGUCUUGAGUUCAGUAGAGGUGAGCGGAAUUCGUAGUGUAGCGGUGAAAUGCUUAGAUAUCAGGAAGAACUCCGAUUGCGAAGGCAGCUCACUGGACUGCAACUGACACUGAGGCUCGAAAGUGUGGGGAUCAAACAGGAUUAGAUACCCUGGUAGUC